CCUACGGGUGGCAGCAGUGGGGAAUAUUGGGCAAUGGGCGCAAGCCUGACCCAGCAACGCCGCGUGAAGGAAGAAGGCUCUCUGGUUGUAAACUUCCUUUUAUAGGGAAGUGCAGUAGACUGUACCUCUUUACUAAGCCACGGCUAACUACGUGCCAGCAGCCGCGGUAAUACGUAGGUGGCAAGCGUUGUCCGGAUUUACUGGGUGUAAAGGGCGUGUAGCCGGGCUGACAAGUCAGAUGUGAAAUCCCGUGGCUCAACCACGGAACUGCAUUUGAAACUGUCGGUCUUGAGUAUCGGAGAGGCAGGCGGAAUUCCUAGUGUAGCGGUGAAAUGCGUAGAUAUUAGGAAGAACACCAGUGGCGAAGGCGGCUUUCUGGACUGAAACUGACGCUGAGGCUCGAAAGCGUGGGGAGCGAACAGGAUUAGAUACCCCAGUAGUC
rnacentral:rRNA from 1 species